UACAGAGGUCCCGAGCGUUGUUCGGAUUCACUGGGCGUAAAGGGUGCGUAGGUGGCCUAAAAAGUUUGAUGUGAAAUCCCCGGGCUCAACCUGGGAAUUGCAUUCGAUACUGGAUAGCUAGAGUUCGGCAGAGGGAAGUGGAAUUUCGGGUGUAGCGGUGAAAUGCGUAGAUAUCCGAAGGAACAUCAGUGGCGAAAGCGACUUCCUGGACCAGAACUGACGAUCAGGCACGAAAGCGUGGGGAGCAAACAGG
rnacentral:rRNA from 1 species